GGAGCUAAUGAUCCAGGCUGUGGAUGGCUCCAGGUCCUUGGCUUCCUUCCUUCUCUGGCUUCCUCUCCUCUGGAGAUUCCUUCAGAUCUUUUGGUCUUUUCUGGCCUUAGUUGAGAGGGGUCGAGAGGAGAGUAGGGCAAUGAAAGUCCUAUUAGACAAUUUUGCAAGUUCUAAUAGCUUUUGACAGGUACAAAGUUGAAAUUAUUGAUCUUAAGAUUUAUUUUUUACCUUAUUUGUGGAUUUAAAAAAAUGCAUCUGUUUUAUAUAUGCAGUACAGUGAAAAGUGCUUUGAAGAAGUUAAAAGCACUGUAUAAAAUGUAAGAGAGAAUUAUGUAUGCAUGUAGUCCCAUUAACCUUGGUAAUUGAGACUUGGUUGUAGAUUUAAAAUAUAAUUAGUUUUGAUAGAACAGUAGCUCACACUUUUCUAAUGGGUAGAGCCAGACAAGGCUUAGAAAAUGUGCCUUUGGUAGAUUUUAUUUUUGAGCCAUCAAUUCAAGACAAAGCUUACAAUCCCUUCAGAGGCUAAAAGGGUGGCAGUAGUGGUGAUUUCUCAUCAACAAGUCAGAAUAGGCAAAUGGUCUUAAAUGAUUGAAUUUUCUUGUUUCAAAUUUCAGGACAAUGAGAAUACAGUUUCCUCCGAAAAAAUCUUAGGCUGAUCUUGGAAGAAAGACCCCCUGGAUCAUCUAAAAAUAAACUUUUCUAUUUAAAGGUUGGUUUUAAUGUUCAUUAUAGCCCUAUGUGCUACCAGAAAAUGGUUUGCCUUUUUGUUUUAAACAUAAGGAAUCAAUGUAAUGCCUUAUACCUGAUAACCUGUGCUGUUGUAUUUGGUCCUCCCUACAACUCUGUCCAUAGAUAUUAUUGUUGCCACUUUAUAGAUGAAAAAACAGAAGCAAAACCAUUAAGCGCCUUCCCCAAGGUCUUAAAAGAAGUCACCAAGAAGGUGGUGUGGCUCAAGUCUCCUGACUCCAGUUUACUAUUCCCCACAAUAAUGUUGGAAAACCACAUUGGAAUGGGAAGACUCAUUCCAAGUACUGCUGUCACACCAGCAAGCUUCAAAGAAGCCUGAGGUGAGAUGUCUGGCCAUGUUGCUGGUGCCGUCGCCCUCAAGAAGCCAAACAGGCUCUCAGAGUUUCUCAGGCCCUGCCCUCGGACGUGGCCCCACCCCAGAGCAUGCUGGGCAGGACCUCCCCAUAGAUCCCUCCCAUUGCCAAUGUAUUCCUCCAGAGGAUUCUGAGCUCUGCUUGGUGUUUCCAGCUGUGAUGAGGUAAAUGUAGUCUUGGUCCUCUGGAAAAGUAGAUAAUUAAGGCAGAUAGUCCACACAUGUGAAAGUGUUGUGACUUGGAAAGGGCGGGCAGAUCCCAGGUUGGGAAGAUUAAGGAAAGCAUUGAGGGAAACCUUUCAGUAUGGUGGGAGGGAAGGAGGAAAGAAGAGAUGGAGGACCUCAUUUUGGUUUUGGUUUUGUUUUGUUUUGAAGUUUUUAUGAAGAAAAGUUCCCAUCUGAUGACUUCUCUGUUUCCCUCUGGUGGUCCAGCACAUAUGAUCAAUGAGCGAGGAGUGUGGACAAGGUGUAGGAAAGUGGAAUUGUUUUGAGAACUUAGGCAAGUGAGUUGACUGAGAAAACAAUCGCAGAAGCUCCCCCGAGACAGGGCCUCUGUUUGUUGCCUCCACUGGGUGUCCCAAGUGCUUGGAAGAGCGUCUGGCACAUGGUAACACAGGAGGAAUGACUGGAUUCUGAGGCAGUGGUGGAGCUGAGCAACAGAUGUAGAACAGAAGUUUAUGGGGCACAAACACACUUGUGUGAUUUUAUCCAAGAGGAAGCAGGCCCUUAUUUGAAGGCAGUUUUAAAACAGGCAGAGUUGGAUUUUGCUAGACAGGACGAAUGAAAGAAGGGGGUAGGCUGUUUAGAGCAGAGCAGUAUAUUUAGGUUUAGGAUUAAGUGAUGCCCCACGAAGUUUUCCUUGGAGAGAGAGGAAAUGAAGACAAAGGUUGUCAGGUGAGUAGGGGAAAGUAUAGAGUGGCUUGUAGUUCCUGAAUAGUUUAAGGAAUUAGCAUGCUGAGGGCAUAAG
rnacentral:lncRNA from 1 species